GGCGUAAGAGCUCGUAGGCGGUUUGUCGCGUCUGCUGUGAAAUCCGGAGGCUCAACCUCCGGCCUGCAGUGGGUACGGGCAGACUAGAGUGCGGUAGGGGAGAUUGGAAUUCCUGGUGUAGCGGUGGAAUGCGCAGAUAUCAGGAGGAACACCGAUGGCGAAGGCAGAUCUCUGGGCCGUAACUGACGCUGAGGAGCGAAAGGGUGGGGAGCAAACAGGCUUAGAUACCCUGGUAGUCCACCCCGUAAACGUUGGGAACUAGUUGUGGGGUCCAUUCCACGGAUUCCGUGACGCAGCUAACGCAUUAAGUUCCCCGCCUGGGGAGUACGGCCGCAAGGCUAAAACUCAAAGGAAUUGACGGGGACCCGCACAAGCGGCGGAGCAUGCGGAUUAAUUCGAUGCAACGCGAAGAACCUUACCAAGGCUUGACAUAUACGAGAACGGGCCAGAAAUGGUCAACUCUUUGGACACUCGUAAACAGGUGGUGCAUGGUUGUCGUCAGCUCGUGUCGUGAGAUGUUGGGUUAAGUCCCGCAACGAGCGCAACCCUCGUUCUAUGUUGCCAGCACGUAAUGGUGGGAACUCAUGGGAUACUGCCGGGGUCAACUCGGAGGAAGGUGGGGAUGACGUCAAAUCAUCAUGCCCCUUAUGUCUUGGGCUUCACGCAUGCUACAAUGGCCGGUACAAAGGGCUGCAAUACCGCGAGGUGGAGCGAAUCCCAAAAAGCCGGUCCCAGUUCGGAUUGAGGUCUGCAACUCGACCUCAUGAAGUCGGAGUCGCUAGUAAUCGCAGAUCAGCAAC
rnacentral:rRNA from 2 species